CUCCAUUCGAAAACAGGCAGAGUAACUGAAUCGGAAAUACCAUUCCGAGCGGACCAACAAGGAAAAACCCUAACCUGCCACCAUUUUUUUCACCUCCCCGGUCAUCACCAUCAACCAGCACAUAACCCUCCAAUGGCGGUGGCACCACCGAACCCCUGACUCCGUUCCUCCCCGACAUCUCGCAGAUCAUCGCCGCACAUCCUCUCGAUGCCCUGAUCGCCCGCCCUCCGAGCGCCUCCUGGACACGCGGCCAUGUCCCUCGACGCAGGCUCCGGCGACCUCCCGGCCACCGGAGGAGGAGGCAACGGCGCGGUCCCCGGCGGAGAUCCGAGCAGGCCGCCGGCUCCGUCGGUCGCGGCCCCGGUGGCGGUGGCGACGGUGGCGAUGACGAGCCAGCAGAGGCUCAGGCUGAACCCUAACAAUGACCACAAGCCGGACAGCUACGACGACCUGCAGCUGGACUUCAGCCCCGCGAUCUUCAGCUCGCUGGAGCGGUACCUGCCGCCGAGCAUGCUGGGGGUCUCGAGGGACGACAAGGUGAAGUUCAUGAGGGAGAUUCUGCUCAAAUACUUGCCUCACGGGGAGCGAAACAGAGCUCAAAGGCAUAGAGAAUACAGGCAGAAGAUAAUCUCAAAUUAUCAGCCUUUACAUAGAGACAUAUACAGCAUGCACCCUUCAGCAUUCUUUGUCCCGACAUUUCUCAAAGCAAUCAAUGAAAGUACAGAGGAGAGUUUUAGAAAUAUUAUGUCUGAACCAUCUCCUGGUGUCUUCACCUUUGAGAUGUUUCAACCGCGAUUCUGUGAAUUGUUGCUCUCUGAGGUGGAAAAUUUUGAGGAUUGGGUAAAUGAGGUGAGAUUUAGGAUAAUGAGGCCCAAUACCAUGAAUAAAUAUGGAGCUGUGCUUGAUGAUUUUGGCCUAGAGACAAUGUUGGACAAACUGUUGGAGGGAUUUGUUCGUCCUAUUUCAAAAGUAUUCUUUCCUGAAGUUGGUGGAUCGACCCUUGAUUCUCAUCAUGGCUUUGUUGUUGAGUAUGGUAAAGAUAGGGAUGUUGACUUAGGUUUUCAUGUUGAUGACUCAGAAGUAACUCUAAAUGUGUGCUUGGGAAAGCAAUUUUCUGGUGGAGAGCUGUUUUUUCGGGGUACACGGUGUGAUAAGCAUGUGAACACUGGCACCCAUUCAGAGGAGAUUUUUGACUUCAGCCAUGUACCUGGGCGAGCAGUGCUUCAUCGUGGUCGUCACCGACAUGGUGCUCGGGCCACAACUUCUGGUCACAGGAUUAAUCUACUCCUGUGGUGUAGAAGUUCAAUAUUUAGGGAGAUGAAGAAGUAUCAAAAGGAUUUUUCCAGUUGGUGUGGAGAGUGCUCGCGUGAGAAAAAGGAGAGGCAACAGCAAUCAGUAGUUUCUACCAGAUCGCAUUGAUGUGGGACCUAUUACGUGCGCCCUGGACUUCACAAAGAAAGUUAGAUCCAAAGGUCGUAGAAGAUCUAAUGCGCUAGCUCAAUCAUCCCUCUGCAAUGUUAUUGAGUUAUGCGCAUCAAAGAAAUCAGUAAUGUGAAUAGGGUUGAUGGAGCUGCUUAGAAGGGAAGGAGAAUCAACGGCAUGACCUGAUCCGUAAAGAUUUGUGCUUGGGCUCUUUCUCAAGAAGCUGGGCUUCUUUGAGACACCGUAGCUGCUGCUCGGAGAAGCUAAAAAUUGCUUUGCACUUCACAGUGAUGCAGAAUGAGUGUAUGUAAAGCAUUUGGUAAAAUAAGGGGAGCAUUUAUCUAAGUAUGUCGGCUGGUGAAAUUUUUGCAAAACGAAGGGAAGUUAUCGUCUCUCCGACUACAUAUCAUUCAUCUUUCUUCUUGAAGGAAAUUUAGCAGCCUUUAGGUGGACGUUGUAUAUCUGCUAUCUCUAACGAGUUCUUGCUUAUAUCUUCUUUUUAUUUCCUUUUGUAAUUUUGUACUUUCUUCACCUUUGACAUCGAAUAGCAGCAGCGACAAACUGUACAUUAUUUCCUUUGCUAGUGUUUCUUGUCGGAUGUUUUUGAUCCACUGAUGUGAUGACGAUUCAUUGA